rnacentral:rRNA from 1 species
ACUUAAAUUGAAGAGUUUGAUCAUGGCUCAGAUUGAACGCUGGCGGCAGGCCUAACACAUGCAAGUCGAGCGGUAGCACAGAGAGCUUGCUCUCGGGUGACGAGCGGCGGACGGGUGAGUAAUGUCUGGGAAACUGCCUGAUGGAGGGGGAUAACUACUGG